ACCGACAGCAAUAUGAAGGCCAGGCUGAAGACUUUGCCGGAUUAGCUGAGAGGAGGUGCAUGGCCGUCGUCAGUUCGUACUGUGAAGCAUCCUGUUAAGUCAGGCAACGAGCGAGACCCACGCCAACAGUUGCCAGCAUGUCCUCCGGGAUGAUGGGGACACUGUUGGGACCGCCUCUGCUAAAGAGGAGGAAGGAAUGGGCAACGGUAGGUCAGCAUGCCCCGAAUUAUCCGGGCUACACGCGGGCUACAAUGGUCAGGACAAUGGGUAUCGACACCGAGAGGUGGAGGCAAUCUCCUAAACCUGUCCUUAGUUCGGAUUGUGGGCUGCAACUCGCCCACAUGAAGCUGGAAUCCGUAGUAAUCGCGUUUCAAAAUAGCGCGGUGAAUAUGUCCCUGCUCCUU
rnacentral:rRNA from 1 species